ACUUUGUUCUGAGGGCAAGUGUGCUGCCUGACCCCACUCCUCUGCUCCUUGUGGGGUGCAGGGCCAGCUCUGCAUACAUAGAGAGAAGACCAGGUCAGGCAGCUGACAGCAAAUACUGCCUUGGGGGGCCGAGGAAACAUCACAGAGUGGCCAGGGAGUCACCUCUGGUGUCUCUUCUUUCCCGGAAAGGCCAAACACCAAGAGGUCAGUGUUUGGAGAGUUCAGGGAUCACCCACCACACUGCCAGGCUCUGGCCAGAAUGGAGGUACAGGUACGGGUAGGAGCAGAGGUGCCACUGCGCUGGAGCAGGGCAGGCUGCGUGGAAAACAAGCAGGAUUCCCGCCUCCUCCAACUGCAGACUACACUGGCCAGCAGGUACUUCCUGCCUGCCUUCAUUCGCUGACUAACCUGUGCACCCUGGCUCAGUUCUCCACACCUGCCUUCUUUUUUUUGCAAAAAUGAUCCUGCCGUGGCUCAUGCUGAACCAGUGUCACCGUCACUGGACAUCACCACUGUCCUUCAAGGGCAGGCUGUCUGGUCAGGUGUGUCAGUGGGCUCCCUUUCUUCUCUGAGCCGUAUCUAACCAGCCACCAGGCUGUGGAGGAAAGCUGAAGUCAUCAGACAUGAAAGGUAUUCUUCAAACAACUGACCAUUUAUGGUUUCUUUCCACUUAGACAUUGUUAAACAAGUAAAACUCAAUUGAAUUUAAAGAUUAAAUUGGCUUCCCAACAAUCCAUACUGGGCAGCAUCCCAUCCAGCAAUAGAAAGGAACUCUGAGGUACUGUACCAAACGGAAGGUUGUUUUACAAGCAGAAAAGGAAAUUGUUAGCAAACGCUUGGUUUCAGGCCAGGCUGCCCUCCUGAAGGGAAUGGGUCUACUGGGCAUAUUAUCUCACUAGUGCUGACCAGGUAAUUCCAUGUUGCCUGGUUAAAGGUUACAUUCCUGGGACGUUGAAACUGCAGUUAGGACCCGAUGUAAGUCUUGGUUUGCUGAUGUGGGGUUUAGCACAGGUGACUCUAUUUUGGGCCUGUUGUCUCUCUUCUAACAUCUCCCUGCUUAACACCCUCUAACCAUCAUAGCCCACCUCUCCCAUCUCUUAUUUAAGAUUGUGAAAUGCUGUAAACUUUUGACAUUGAAAAAUACAAUAAAAUAGGUGCCAAAGUACAA